GAUGAACGCUGGCGGCGUGCCUAAUACAUGCAAGUCGAGCGAACGGACGAGAAGCUUGCUUCUCUGAUGUUAGCGGCGGAAGGGUGAGUAACACGUGGAUAACCUACCUAUAAGACUGGGAUAACUUCGGGAAACCGGAGCUAAUACCGGAUGAUUAUUUGAACAGCAUGGUUCAAAAGUGAAAGACGGUCUUGCUGUCACUUAUAGAUGUAUCCGCGCUGCAUUAGCUAGUUGGUAAGGUAACGGCUUAACAAGGCAACGAUGCAUAGCCGACCUGAGAGGGUGAUCGGCCACACUGGAACUGAGACACGGUCCAGACUCCUAAGGGAGGCAGCAGUAGGGAAUCUUCCGCAAUGGGCGGAAGCCUGACGGAGCAACGCCGCGUGAGUGAUGAAGGUCUUCGGAUCGUAAAACUCUGUUAUUAGGGAAGAACAUAUGUGUAAGUAACUGUGCACAUCUUGACGGUACCUAAUCAGAAAGCCACGGCUAACUACGUG
rnacentral:rRNA from 1 species